UACGUAGGGGGCGAGCGUUGUCCGGAGUUACUGGGCGUAAAGCGCUUGUAGGCGGUCCACCAAGUUUGGGGUGACAGUUGCCGACUUAAUCGGCAAAGUGCCUCAAAGACUGGCGGACUUGAGGGCCACAGAGGGACAUGGAACUCCAGGUGUAGUGGCGAAAUGCGUAGAUAUCUGGAAGAACACCAAAGGCGAAGGCAGUGUCCUGGGUGGUCGCUGACGCUGAGAGGCGAAAGCCAGGGGAGCGAACGGG
rnacentral:rRNA from 1 species